GUAAUUACAGCGAGUUGACAUAAUUGACACUGGUGAUGAGUUGAUCCAAUUUCCGGUCCUUGCACAUUAUUUCCUUUUUGAUUAAUGGCGGACGACCACGAGGAGAGGACAGUGUUCAAACAGAUAACGCGACAGACCACCGACAGGAUAUCGAGGCCAUUUAGUUGCACCACUUGUUAGCAAGCAAAUUGAGCUUUCAUGUUCAUCAAGGCAUUAAGACAUUUGUAAAACUGCACAGCGAUAGUAGGUUCCAAGACUUUUUCACUGAAGGAGAUCCCCACCCGCA